rnacentral:lncRNA from 1 species
GGUCGUGGCCAUUAAUAACUUAAAUGAGCCGAGGAUAUCCAGGACACGGUCGUUAACCCCCAAAUGUUUAUGUUAUCAAACAAUACAGAUUAAAACGGGUUAUGCGGAUUUAUUAAAUCACAAUCCGACGAAAUAAUCCCAUACCCGACCAAGCGGUAUUAAUAUACCGUAUCCCAAGCCCGUAUAGGGAAAACAAGUUAAAAGUAUUUACCUUGUGAUAGCAGUAAAAUUCCUAAGGUUCUUGAAAGGCACUUUUUACCGAAAGCUAUUAAUCUAUAUAGGAGGUUUAAUUAGUCUAUUAGGAUGCUAACGGGUCUUUAAUUAAGUCAAGGACUUAGACCGGCUAGCUAGAAGGAAACCUUACGGUUCUAAACGCUAGAUUAAGCGGAGACCGGGAUAGAAUGUGAUUUAGACCCGACAAGCUUGGAUACUUGUAUAAUAUGGGUAAACUAAAUAUAUUCUGAAAAAAUGAGAAUCAAAUGAUAAGGUUAAGCCCGUUUCGGUUAUUUUACGUAAACUAGUCACGUAAACCGAUCCGAACGCGUAAAUGCGUAACGGGUAACCAAAUAAAUUAUAUACAGGUCUUAAUCAUUAUUAUGCUCAAAAUAUGCUAAUAUAUCAGUAAUAUAUUAACAUAUAUGCCCAAAAAGUAAUUUAAACCAAAAUAAGUCCCAAAAGGGCAUUUUGGUAAUUUUAAUGCUCAUAAAAGAGUUUAAUUAUAAAACUGAGUUCCAGGUCUGAUUAAAUUAGUAAAAACAUGCGUUUUGAUAAUUUAUAUCAGUAAGAUACUUAAUAUAUGAGAAACAUACCUUUUAAAACCAUUUAUGCACCGUUGGGGCAUUUUGGUAAUUUUAUAUAAGCUUUUAAAGAUCAAAAUAAGCUUCUGAGUUUAAACACUUUAGCUUACUGUAAUAUUACAUGUAUUAGUUUAAAACAUCAAUGGGUGCUAUAAACACUUAAAAAUCGAUUUAAAGGGCUAUUUGGGUAAAAAUAGGAAAUAUGAAUUUUUGAUCAGUUUAUAAGCUUCCAAAUGUUCUAUUUAUAAUAUAAAAUCAGUACCAAAAAGUUUGGCAUUAAAAUGUAAUGAAAAACUCAUUUUAUGUAAGAAAAGGGUAAAAUCGACAAUUACCGAAAUUAAGUUAUAAUCUUAUGUUAUGCUCAGCCUAAAAAUAAAUAAAAAUAUUCAAAAAUCCCAAAAUAUUAUUUAACAUCAGUAGGUAAAAAGUUUGGUGUCAAAAAUCGGGUUUAGAUAGGCUUUGUGUUAAUUACGCCUUUUAAAUGCUAAAAGCUCCUUAAUUACGCUAUUGAGCAUAACUCCUAUUCUAGACCUUAAACUGAUGUCAAAUCUUCGGGACAUGUCUAAAUAACAGUAGCAAAGGUUUUAGUCCAUUCACAUUGCUAAAAAUCUCGGUU